AUAAAGAUAUCUCUUACUUUGUUCCCUAUUCUCUCACAAUUCCCUCAGCUUCUCAUCUUCUACGUGCUGUAUUUUCUUGGCUUUCAGCUACUUUGAGUUGUUCCAAAAUGGCUGACCAAAUUCCAUUCGGUGUUGUGGAGCACAUUUUGACCAACUUGGGGUCCUCGGCGUUUCAAGAAAUUGGAUCCAUGUAUGGUGUUCCAAAGGAGAUGACCAAGCUCAAGGGGAAACUGGGCAUCAUCAAGGCUGUGCUUUUGGAUGCUGAGGAGAAGCAGCAGCAGAGCAAUCAUGCAGUCAAAGAUUGGGUCAAAGAUUGGGUCCGGAGUCUCAAAGGCGUUGUGUAUGACGCAGAUGACUUGCUGGAUGACUAUGCAACCCAUUAUCUUCAGCGAGGAGGAUUGGCAAGGCAGGUCAGUGAUUUCUUCUCAUCUGAAAAUCAAGUUGCUUUUCGUUUAAACAUGAGUCAUAGACUCAAGGAUAUCAAAGAAAGGAUAGAUGACAUUGAAAAAGGCAUCCCCAUGUUAAAUCUGACUCCACGGGACAUAGUACAUAGGAGAGACAGCCAUUCAUUCGUGUUGCCGUCUGAAAUGGUAGGAAGAGAAGAAAACAAAGAGGAGAUAAUAGGGAAGUUGUUGUCGUCCAAGGGUGAAGAAAAGCUUUCGGUUGUUGCCAUUGUAGGCAUUGGGGGGUUGGGAAAGACCACCCUUGCUAAAUUGGUAUACAAUGAUGAAAGAGUGGUCAAUCAUUUUGAGUUUAAGAUAUGGGCUUGCAUUUCUGAUGAUUCUGGUGAUAGUUUUGAUGUUAUUAUGUGGAUCAAAAAAAUUUUAAAAUCUCUGAAUGUUGGGGAUGCUGAAAGUCUGGAGACUAUGAAAACUAAGCUUCAUGAAAAAAUAAGUCAAAAGAGGUACUUGCUAGUCCUCGAUGAUGUUUGGAAUCAAAAUCCUCAAAAAUGGGAUGACGUGAGAACUUUAUUAAUGGUUGGGGCUAUUGGUAGUAAAAUUGUAGUGACCACCCGUAAACCAAGAGUUGCAUCAAUCAUGGGAGAUAAUUCUCCCAUUAGUUUGGAAGGUCUGGAACAAAAUCACUCCUGGGAUUUAUUUUCAAAAAUCGCAUUUAGAGAAGGCCAGGAGAAUUUGCAUCCAGAAAUUCUAGAAAUUGGAGAAGAAAUUGCAAAAAUGUGCAAGGGAGUUCCUCUCGUCAUUAAGACUUUAGCAAUGAUAUUGCAGUCUAAAAGAGAACAGGGCGAAUGGUUGUCUAUUAGAAACAAUAAAAAUUUGUUGUCACUUGGCGAUGAAAAUGAGAAUGUUCUAGGGGUGCUGAAAUUAAGUUAUGAUAAUUUGCCAACUCAUUUGAGACAAUGUUUUACAUAUUGUGCUUUAUUUCCAAAAGACUUUGAGAUUGAGAAAAAGUUGGUGGUACAACUAUGGAUAGCACAAGGUUAUAUUCAACCUUAUAAUAAUAAGCAAUUAGAGGAUAUAGGGGAUCAAUAUGUUGAGGAAUUAUUGUCAAGGUCAUUGUUGGAGAAGGCAGGAACCAAUCAUUUUAAAAUGCAUGACCUUAUACAUGAUCUUGCACAAUCAAUUGUAGGAUCUGAGAUCCUUAUUUUAAGAAGUGAUGUAAAUAACAUUCCAGAAGAAGUUCGUCAUGUAUCAUUGUUUGAAAAGGUAAAUCCUAUGAUAAAGGCUCUAAAGGGAAAACCCGUAAGGACCUUUCUAAACCCUUAUGGAUAUUCUUAUGAAGAUAGUACAAUUGUAAAUUCAUUUUUUUCGAGUUUUAUGUGUCUACGUGCAUUGAGUUUAGAUUAUGUGCCAAAGUGUUUAGGCAAAUUGAGUCAUUUAAGGUAUCUUGAUCUUUCCUACAAUAAUUUUGAGGUACUUCCAAAUGCUAUUACAAGGUUAAAGAAUUUGCAAACACUAAAACUCACAGGGUGUGUCAGUUUAAAAAGGAUUCCAGACAAUAUAGGAGAAUUGAUCAAUCUUAGACACUUGGAGAAUAGUAGAUGUCAUGACUUGACUCAUAUGCCACAUGGAAUCGGCAAGUUGACUUUACUUCAAAGUCUACCAUUGUUUGUGGUUGGGAAUGAUAUAGGGCAGUCUAGGAAUCACAAAAUUGGUGGCUUGAGUGAAUUGAAAGGCCUUAACCAACUAAGAGGAGGGUUAUGCAUACGUAAUCUUCAAAACGUGAGGGAUGUUGAACUGGUAUCCAGGGGGGGAAUUUUGAAAGGAAAACAAUGUCUUCAGUCCUUGAGAUUGAAAUGGAUACGGUCGGGCCAAGAUGGGGGGGAUGAGGGUGAUAAGUCAGUGAUGGAAGGCCUUCAACCACACCGACACCUAAAGGAUAUCUUUAUACAAGGUUACGAAGGUACGGAGUUUCCAAGUUGGAUGAUGAAUGAUGAGUUGGGUUCCCUGUUUCCCUACCUAAUUAAAAUUGAAAUUUCAGGAUGUUCAAGAUGCAAAAUUCUGCCACCCUUUUCUCAACUCCCUUCUCUCAAGUCUUUGAAGCUUAAGUUUAUGGAAGAACUGGUGGAGUUAAAGGAGGGUUCAUUAACAACGCCACUCUUCCCAUCUCUUGAAUCGCUCGAACUCCAUGUCAUGCCAAAGUUGAAGGAAUUGUGGAGGAUGGACUUACUAGCAGAGGAAGGUCCUUCAUUUUCUCAUCUUUCGAAGUUAUAUAUUCGUGCAUGCUCUGGUUUGGCAUCACUGCAUCCUUCUCCUUCUCUUUCUCAAUUAGAAAUCAGAGAUUGCCCUAACUUGGCAUCCUUGGAACUGCAUUCGUCUCCUUCUCUUUCUCAAUUAGAGAUCAUCAAUUGCCAUAACUUGGCAUCCUUGGAACUGCAUUCGUCUCCUUCUCUUUCUCAAUUAGAGAUCAGAAAUUGCCAUAACUUGGCAUCCUUGGAACUGCAUUGGUCUCCUUCUCUUUCUCAAUUAGAGAUCAGAUAUUGCCAUAACUUGGCAUCCUUGGAACUGCAUUCGUCUCCUUCUCUUUCUCAAUUAACGAUCAUCGAUUGCCAUAACUUGGCAUCCUUGGAACUGCCGUCAUCUCUUCGUCUUUCUGAUUUAGAUAUCAGAAAAUGCCCUAACUUGGCAUCCUUGGAACUGCAUUCUUCUCCUUCUCUUUCUCAAUUAACGAUCAUCAAUUGCCAUAACUUGGCAUCCUUGGAACUGCAUUCAUCUCCUUGUCUUUCUCGAUCAUGGAUCUAUGAAUGCCCUAACUUGGCAUCCUUCAAAGUGGCUCCAUUACCUUCUCUUGAGACACUAUCUCUGUUCACAGUUAGAUAUGGUGUGAUAUGCCAGAUAAUGUCUGUCUCUGCUUCGUUGAAGUCUCUGUAUAUUGGAAGCAUAGAUGAUAUGAUAUCUCUCCCGAAGGAGCUACUUCAACAUGUUUCUGGCUUGGUAACGUUACGGAUCCGUGAGUGUCCUAACUUGCAAUCCUUGGAACUGCCGUCAUCUCCUUCUCUUUCUGAAUUAAGGAUCAUAAAUUGCCCUAACUUGGCAUCCUUCAAUGUGGCAUCAUUACCUCGUCUUGAGGAACUAAGCCUGCGUGGAGUCAGAGCAGAGGUACUGAGGCAGUUCAUGUUUGUCUCUGCUUCUUCUUCAUUGAAGUCUCUGUGUAUACGGGAGAUUGAUGGUAUGAUAUCUCUCCGAGAGGAGCCGCUUCAAUAUGUUUCCACUCUCGAAACUCUCCACAUUGUUAAGUGCUCUGGUUUGGCAACAUUACUACACUGGAUGGGCAGCCUUUCCUCGCUUACGGAACUUAUUAUUUUUGGCUGCUCGGAAUUGAAAUCACUGCCAGAAGAGAUCUAUUCCCUUAAAAAACUGCAGACAUUUUAUUUCUGUGAUUAUCCAGACCUAGAGGAAAGAUACAAGGAAACAGGUGAAGACCGGGCCAAGAUUGCUCAUAUCCCACAUGUUAGUUUCUACAGUGAUUCGAUUAUGUAUAGUAAGAUUAACAUCAUUUGCUGAUGCUGUGCACUAAACUAAUCAUUUUACUUGGGAGUUGUACAUUCUAAGAGUUUGAGGAAAUAUUGAGGUCUGGUAUGAUAACUCUCAAUCCUUGGAACUGCAUUCAUCUCCUUCUCUUUCUCGAUUAACAAUCCAUGAUUGCCCAAACUUGGCAUCCUUCAAUGUGGCAUCAUUACCUCGUCUUGAGGAACUAAGCCUGCGUGGAGUCAGAGCAGAGGUACUGAGGCAGUGCAUGUUUGUCUCUGCUUCUUCUUCAUUGAAGUCUCUGUGUAUACGGGAGAUUGAUGGUAUGAUAUCUCCCAGAGGAGUCGCUUCAAUAUGUUUCCACUCUCGAAACUCUCUACAUUGUUAAGUGCUCUGGUUUGGCAACAUUACUACACUGGAUGGGCAGCCUUUCCUCGCUUAAGGAACUUAUGAUUUAUGAAUGCUCUGAAUUGACAUCACUGCCAGAAGAGAUCUGUUCCCUUAAAAAACUGCAGAAAUUUUAUUUCUGUGAUUAUCCACACCUAGAGAAAAGAUACAACAAGGAAACAGGUAAAGACCGGGCCAAGAUUGAUCAUAUCCCACGUAUUAAUUUCCAAAGUGAUCGAGUUAUGGAAUAUAAGCUUGGAUGCGCUUUCCGAUGAUGUGCACUAAACUAACCAUUUUACUUGGAGUUGUACAUUCUAAGAGUUUGAGGAAAUACUAAGACCCAAGAAUACAGAGGGCCACACUUGGUGAAGGUUUCAUCAGUAAGGAGAACCAUUUCAGAGUUUGUAGAAGAGAAGAAAGAUUUGAUCCAAGAUAUUCCUAAAGAUCGGAAACUUUCAAAGCCACCCAAGAUCGCACAGGGAUUUCAGGCGAGGAGGCCCAACUUGUGAUCAUAGAGCAUACUUUUAUCAUAGAGAAGCCCAAGGAAAUAUUUAAGCACUUGAAAUCCUUUCUCAUUGAUUUGCUUCCACCUCCCAAGCAACACCUAGAACCACUCCCACCAUGACGAAGUUAAAAGAACUUGGAAUUCAUGGCUACCCUGAAUUGACAUCCCUGCCAGAAGAUAUGUUCCCUCAAAAGCCUGCAGACACUAAACAAUUUGCAUAUGUUCACACUUAAAGGAAAGCUGCUGAAAGGAAAAGUGAAGACUAAGCAAAGAUUGCUCAUAUCCCACAAAUUGAUAUCAUACAUCCAUGAAGAUUGAACUGAUACAAAAUGCCUUUCAGGUUCGAAAUCCCUAACUUUUCUUCUUAUUUUCUAUUACUUCAUUUUUAUUAUCUUACAUUAAAAAAUCCUCUGUUUUCAUUUGUUUUGGUAGUUCUUUUUAUUUGCACCUUAUUUGUUUUAUUAAAUGCUUACUCCAGUAAGUUUGAAAAUUUUUACAUCUUCAAAUCAUUUUGCUUGAGUGUUUUGCAUUCUAAGAGUUUGAGGAAAUAUUGAGCUCUAAUAUAAAUAGUAUUGGUCAUAGAGUCUUCCUUUCUUAAGAAGCUUACCAUUAACCUAAUGGCCAAAGGAUCCCAAAAGGAAACAACUUUGGGUUGACUUGAAGAUUUCACAUGGUCCAAACAUUCAUAUUUACUAGAUGCCUGAUACAAAAGAAAUUUUGCUCUCUUUUCAAUUUAGCCAUUGAUGUAGUCUAAAUGUUUUAUUAGAGCAAUAAUUGUCCAGUAAAUGCAAAAUAGAGAAUGGUGUUAAUGAAUUCAGUACUUCAUCUAUGUUGUAGACUUGUAGUUUAGCAGCUUCUGUUGAUAAUGAGUGUGAGGUUGGCUUUAUCAUGUCACUGUUCCAAAUAUUCUUAAAAAAAAAUCAUUUAAGCUCUAUUUGGUUCUUAGAAAAUUUAAGGGAAAAUGUGAGGAAAACAAAAUAGAGAAGAAAAGUGGAAGGAAAAAAAAGUGAAAGUCAAUGAAUUAUUUUUGUAUGCUACUUCAAACUCACUUCACUUUUUUUAACUCUUCAAUAUAAAGAUUAAAUCAUUUGAAAAAUGUGUAAAUUUCUAAUUAAUUUUAAUUAUAUUUGAUUUUCUUUGGUAUUUUCCAAAAGACAACCAAAUAUGAGAAAAUCAUUUUCCUUAACAUUUUUUUUCUUAGUACUUUUAGGGAACCAAACAUAACCUAAAUGUUUUAGUUUAGUAGUUUCAUCAAAUGAGAUAGACAACCUCACAUCUCUUAGUGAGCUGAGGUGCUAUGUCAAUUAAUGCUUUGUCUCUACUCUUCAUUGAAGUCUCUAUCUAUUGGAUGCACAAAUGAUAUGAUCCAAACUCAAAUUGAACACUAUUCUGGUUUUGCAACAUUACUGCACUCGAAAGGCAACUUCAACUCACUUAUAGACCUUCCUAUUGGUGAUUGCACUGAAUCGACAUCACUUUGGAAGAGAUGUGUUCCACACAGAAAAUCUUUCAUUAUAUGCACCUACUCGCGAGAUACCAAAGGGAAACAGGUGAAUACUUGCCCAAGAAUACAAAGGUCAUACUUGGUGAAGGUUCCGUCAAUAAGGAGAACCAUUUCAAAUAAAAGACUGGCAGCUAAUGUGCAUAGAAUUUGUAGAAGAGAAUAAAGAUUUGAUCUAAGUUAUUUCUAAUAGGUUGAGGAAUUCAUUCUUGUAAAAAUUGAGUGUUAAAGCCUUCAAGAGGUUUGAAUCUUGAAGAAAUUAUGUAAGAGCCCAUUGGAGCCAGAAUCCAAGUGUAAAGGAGAUUGGAAGCUUGGUUGAAGCUUCAAGUUAGUGAAACCCUCACUCGGUUAGGAGAUUGAGGAGAGUGGACGUAGGCAAGGAAAUGCCGAACCACUAUAAAAUCCAAGUUUAAAUUCUCUAA